rnacentral:sRNA from 1 species
AGCAGCUGUGGUAAUUCCAGCUCCAAUAGCGUAUAUUAAAGUUGUUGCAGUUAAAAAGCUCGUAGUUGAAUUUCGGGGUUAGUAGGUUGGUCGUGCCACUGGUAUGUACUGGUCUCACUGAUUCCUCCUUCCUGAUGAACCGUAAUGCCAUUAAUUUGGUAUUGCAGGGAGACUGGACUGUUACUUUGAAAAAAUUAGAGUGUUUAAAGUAGGCUAACGCUUGAAUACAUUAGCAUGGAAUAACAGAAUAGAACGUUCGAUCUUAUUUUGUUGGUUUCUAAGAUUGAUGUAAUGAUUAAUAGGGAUAGUUGGGGUAUUAGUAUUCAAUUGUCAGAGGUGAAAUUCUUGGAUUUAUUGAAGACUAACUACUGUGAAAGCAUUUGCCAAGGAUGUUUUCAUUAAUCAAGAACGAAAGUUAGGGGAUCGAAGACGAUCAGAUACCAUCGUAGUCUUAACCAUAAACUAUGCUGACUAGGGAUCGGAUGAUAUUAAUUUUUUAAUGACU